GGCUCAGAACGAACGCUGGCGGCGUGCCUAACACAUGCAAGUCGAACGCGAAAGAUAGCAAUAUCGAGUAGAGUGGCGCACGGGUGAGUAACACGUAACUGACAUGUCCUCGAGACAGAGAUAACCAGCCGAAAGGCUGGCUAAUACCUGGUAAGCCCACGGCUUUGGAGCUGAGGGAAAAAGGUCGGGACCCUUCGGGGCCGAUCGCUUGAGGAGUGGGUUGCGGCCCAUCAGGUAGUUGGCGGGGUAAUGGCCCACCAAGCCUAAGACGGGUAGCUGGUCUGAGAGGAUGAUCAGCCACACUGGAACUGAGACACGGUCCAGACUCCUACGGGAGGCAGCAGUGGGGAAUCUUGCGCAAUGGGAGAAAUCCUGACGCAGCAACGCCGCGUGGGUGAUGAAGGUCUUCGGAUCGUAAAGCCCUGUCGGAGGGGAAGAUGCUGAGCGCGUCUAACAGACGCGAACGGUGACGGUACCCUCAAAGGAAGCACCGGCUAACUCUGUGCCAGCAGCCGCGGUAAUACAGAGGGUGCAAGCGUUGUUCGGAAUUAUUGGGCGUAAAGGGAGUGUAGGCUGUUUUCUAAGUCUUCUGUGAAAUCUACGGGCUUAGCCUGUAACGUGCAGAGGAAACUGGGAGACUUGAGUGUCGGAGAGGAUAGGGGAAUACCCGGUGUAGAGGUGAAAUUCGUAGAGAUCGGGUGGAACACCAGUGGCGAAGGCGCCUAUCUGGCUGACAACUGACGCUGAGACUCGAAAGCAUGGGGAGCAAACAGGAUUAGAUACCCUGGUAGUCCAUGCCGUAAACGAUGAUAGCUAGAUGUGUGCGGUAUUGACCCCGUACGUGUCGAAGCCAACGCGAUAAGCUAUCCGCCUGGGGAG
rnacentral:rRNA from 1 species